rnacentral:pre_miRNA from 1 species
GCAAGGUAACACACCGUCUCACAAAGUGGCUGUUGUAUGUUCUUUAAAGAUAUGUUAAUCAUAUCACAGCCAGCUUUGAUGGGCGGAGUUUCCUCAG